GGCCCACCAAGCCGACGAUGUCUAGGGGUUCUGAGAGGAAGGUCCCCCACACUGGAACUGAGACACGGUCCAGACUCCUACGGGAGGCAGCAGUGAGGAAUAUUGGUCAAUGGGCGAGAGCCUGAACCAGCCAAGUCGCGUGAGGGAAGAAUGGUCUAUGGCCUGUAAACCUCUUUUGUCAGGGAAGAAUAAGGAUGACGAGUCAUUCGAUGCCAGUACUUGACGAAUAAGCAUCGGCUAACUCCGUGCCAGCAGCCGCGGUAAUACGGGGGAUGCGAGCGUUAUCCGGAUUUAUUGGGUUUAAAGGGCGCGUAGGCGGGACGUCAAGUCAGCGGUAAAAGACUGCAGCUAAACUGUAGCACGCCGUUGAAACUGGCGCCCUGGAGACGAGACGAGGGAGGCGGAACAAGUGAAGUAGCGGUGAAAUGCAUAGAUAUCACUUGGAACCCCGAUAGCGAAGGCAGCUUCCCAGGCUCGUUCUGACGCUGAUGCGCGAGAGCGUGGGUAGCGAACAGGAUUAGAUACCCUGGUAGUCCACGCCGUAAACGAUGCUCACUGGAUCUUGGCGAUACACGGCCAGGGUUCAAGCGAAAGUAUUAAGUGAGCCACCUGGGGAGUACGUCGGCAACGAUGAAACUCAAAGGAAUUGACGGGGGCCCGCACAAGCGGAGGAACAUGUGGUUUUGCUGCAUGGUUGUCGUCAGCUCGUGCCGUGAGGUGUCGGGUUAAGUCCCAUAACGAGCGCAACCCCUAUCGCCAGUUGCCAUCGGUUGAAGCCGGGCACUCUGUCGAGACUGCCACCGUAAGGUGCGAGGAAGGCGGGGAUGACGUCAAAUCAGCACGGCCCUUACACCCGGGGCGACACACGUGUUACAAUGGCCGGUACAGAGGGCAGCCACGGGGUGACCCGGAGCGAAUCUCUAAAGCCGGUCGUAGUUCGGACUGGAGUCUGCAACCCGACUCCACGAAGUUGGAUUCGCUAGUAAUCGCGCAUCAGCCAUGGCGCGGUGAAUACGUUCCCGGGCCUUGUACACACCGCCCGUCAAGCCAUGGAAGCCGGGAGUACCUGAAGAUCGUGACCGCGAGGAACGGGCUAGGGUAAUACCGGUAACUGGGGCUAAGUCGUAACAAGGUAGCCGUACCGGAAGGUGCGGCUG
rnacentral:rRNA from 1 species